rfam:Burkholderia sp. TSV85 TSV85_22, whole genome shotgun sequence.
UUGCUAACGCGGGGGUCCUGCGUGGCGAUCGGUCUGCCGAUUGCCGCAGCGGGUGAGAAAUACCCUUUGAACCUGAUCUGGAUAAUGCCAGCGCAGGGAAGCGUCCGGGCUUCGUCA